UACUUGGAUAACUGUGGUAAUUCUAGAGCUAAUACACGCAGGACGAGCGCAUUUAUUAGAACAAAACCAAUUUUGGUGAAUCUGAAUAACUUUCGGUCUUCGUACCGGCGAUGCAUCUUUCAAGUGUCUGCCUUAUCAACUUUCGAUGGUAGUUUAUGUGACUACCAUGGUUGUAACGGGUAACGGAGAAUUAGGGUUCGACUCCGGAGAGGGAGCCUGAGAAACGGCUACCACUUCUAAGGAAGGCAGCAGGCGCGAAAAUUACCCACUAUCAGCGAUGAGGUAGUAACGAAAAAUAACGAGCGGAGCUUCUUACGCAUCGGAAUGAGAACAAUGUAAACCUUUUAGCGAGGAUCUAGCAGAGGGCAAGUCUGGUGCCAGCAGCCGCGGUAAUUCCAGCUCUGCCAGUGUAUAUCUAUGCUGCUGCGGUUAAAAAGCUCGUAGUUGGAUCUGCCACGGUGGCGGUCGGCCUUCGGGUCUGCUGUCAGCUCAGCGUCGGUGCCCUUAACCGGGUGUCGUCGUCGACUGGCGAGUUUACUUUGAAAAAAUUAGAGUGCUCAAAACAAGCGUUUCGCUUGAAUACUGGUGCAUGGAAUAAUAGAAUAGGAGGUUCUAUUUUGUUGGUUUUCGGAGCAAAGGUAAUGAUUAAGAGGGACAGUCGGGGGCAUUCGUAUUGCGACGCUAGA
rnacentral:rRNA from 1 species